rnacentral:SRP_RNA from 1 species
GUCAGGUGUGGUGGCGCACACCUAUAAUCUCAGUUACCCAGGAGGCUGAGGUGGGAGGAUCACUUGAGCCCAGAAGUUCAAGGCUGCAGUGUGCUAUGAUCACGCCCAUGAAUAGCCACUACCUGCUAGCCUGGGCAACACAGUGAGGUCUCAUCUCUA